UAGCCUAGUGGUUAAGGCUAUGGGUUCUCAAUCCGGAGACGGCGGGUUCGAUUCCCGU
rnacentral:tRNA from 1 species